rnacentral:sRNA from 1 species
CUAGGGUUCAAAACUCAUGAGACGAUCAUGCUUGCAUGGAUCGGCUCAUGAGCUUGGAACCCGUACAAACAUGAGCAAGCAGCGAAAUGUUUGUGAAAACAAGCAUUUCAGCGGAUUGCGAAUGGUUGUAGGAUUGCGGGAGCAUCGAAGAUGCGGAGCAAUCCGUGUGC